UUAGCCCAAUCCAAUUUGGCAAGUUAUUAACUCAUGCAAAAGUCACUGAUGUUGCACGAAAUGGAGUUAAGUUGGCGGGUCGCAACCGCAUUUCCAUUGAGUUCUUGUCCCCAGAGGCGGCAAAUAACUUCCUGACAAACCCCUUGUUAGAGUCAAGUAGAUUCUCUGCCAUUAUACCUACCUAUAAUAUCACAAGGAUGGGAAUUAUCCGUGGUGUUCCAACAGACUGGAGUUUAUCUGAGUUUGUGGACAAUGUUGAACUCCCAGAUGGCUGUGGCCACAUUUGUAAAGUCCGUAGACUAAACCGGAAAGUCUCAAAAGAUGGUAAUAAUGAAUGGGUCCCUACAGGCACUGUUGUUGUUACAUUUACGGGUCAAACACUCCCUCAAAAAAUUUUCUGUUUUUAUACUUCACUUCCAGUGGAAGUGUACGAGCUACCCACCAUUCAAUGCCACAAUUGUUGUCGAUUUGGACACAUUGCCAACGCCUGUCGCUCCAAUAAACCUAGGUGCUUCCGAUGCGCCCAACCUCACGCUGGGAACAACUGUUCCGUUCCAGAGGCAAAUGCUACUUGUUUACUUUGUUUAGGUAGACACUUUGCCACAAGUAAAUCUUGCCCAGAGCUUGGUCGACAAAAAGUAAUUAAAAUUACUAUGGCUCAAGAGAACAUCUCCUUCCCAGAGGCCUCAGCUAAGGUGCCACCGGUUCGCCGUGCGUAUGCUGACGUGGCAAAAACUUUGUUUGCCCCAGUAGCUCCUCCACAAUCUCCUCCAUCACCCCAUAGAUUUAUAUCAUACUCACAGCCUCACAGCCAAUCAAGUUAUCGGAAAACAGUUUUUACUCCGGUAGUGCGCCCAAGAGCUCCCUCGAGUCCGGGAUAUGAUCGUGUAGCCCAUCAGGCCUUAAUUUCAGAUAGAGAUCCACCAGCCCCUAAUAAUGGGGUUUGUUUAAAUAACUCUCCUACACCGAGAGGAGAUAAUCUGUUGGACCUUUUAGUGUCAAUGCUUGUCAAUAUAUUGAAUAGAUAUAGUGAUUUUUCACCACCGUCCCACGUUGCCAAUUUGUUAGGAGACUUGUCAAAUGUUAUUAACAAAAUUCAAAAUUAUUCAGUGGAACGCUCAGAGUCUACGUCCUAAGAAACAUGAAGCCUUACUCAUGAUUAAUUCUCACGAUCCAGGAGUCUUUGCUAUCUCGGAGACUUGGUUUAUACCGGGAUCCUAUUUUAGGCUACCGGGCUUCUCCUGUCUCCGGGAUGACAGAGCUGAUGGAUAUGCUGGUGUUGCAUUGUUUAUUAAAUCUACAUUUACGUACUCCCGUAUUCCUCUUCCAACUAUAACAGGUAUCAAUGCCAUUGCUGCCAAAAUCCAAAAUGUAACCAUUAUUUGCAUUUAUAUUCCUAAUCCCAGUGUAAUUUCAAUCUCGGACAUUGAGUCAAUUUUCUCCCACGUCUCUGGACCUGUUAUUAUUGUAGGGGAUUUUAACAUGUCACAUUUAAUAUGGGGUGGUCCUGAUUAUGACCCCAUCGGCUGUGAUCUGGUCGACUUGAUGGACUCCAGGAAUCUUUGCCUCCUUAACGAUGGCUCUCCAACGAGAUAUACUGCUCCGGACCGCAGAGUCAGCGCUGUUGACCUAUCUAUGUGCUCACCGGAUAUUAGAUCUAUGAUCUCUUGGCAAAUCCUACAAGAGAAAUUUGGAAGCGAUCACUACGUUAUUGUUAUUUCGUUUGACCAACCAUCCCCUUCCCUCAGGUCUUUCGAACCCUUAUUAAAAUAUCGUCUGUCUCGCGCAAAUUGGGAUAAUUAUUCUAUUGAGGCUGAUGCCAACUCUCAUUCUGUCCCUCUCAUCAAUAAUUCCAACGUUGAGGAAGGCUAUAACCUUUUUGUUGAAGGCAUUUGUAAAGCUGCAAACAAUAACAUCCCAAUUAAAAAGUCUAAGAUUGGUAGUAAAGUGUCUCCCCCUUGGUGGGAUGUUCAUUGUUCUGAUAUGUACAAACGCCGUAAAGAGGCAGAAAUUAACUACUGCCUUACGAUGACCAUAGAGAACUAUCUGCUUUUAAAAAAAAUUUCAGCAGUUGCCAAACGUUUUUUCAAAAAAAAGAAACGGUCCUCAUGGGUCCGAUUCUGCCAGUCUCUUUCCCCUCGGACUCCUCCUUCCUUGUUAUGGAGAUCCAUAAAACGUUUUAGGGGUUCUUUUUCUGGUCGUAGUUGCGACUCGAAUGAUUAUUCAAAAUGGAUACAUGAAUUCACAAACAACCUGGCUCCUUUCUCGGCUGCUAACCAUGACUGCUUAUCUUCGCCAUACCCUUCUGCUUUUCCUCAUCACUCACUCAAUGAUCCAUUUUCUAUGGUAGAGCUUCUAUCAUCCCUUCAAUCCCUUAGGGACUCAUCACCUGGUAUAGACGGUAUCCCAUAUUCCUUUCUUAAAAAAUCUGGCCAAUUUACAAAAUCUUUAUUCCUUUCAAUAGUUAACAAAUUUUUUGAAACAGCUUUUGUUCCAGAGUCUUGGAAAAACCAGAUAAUUAUCCCAAUUUUAAAACCAGGGAAAAACCCUUCGAAAUGCUCUUCCUACAGACCUAUUGCUCUUUCAUCAACCCUUUGCAAGACCAUGGAACAUAUGUUAAAAAGAAGAUUCUUUGAGCUGUCUUUAUGCAAUCGACUCAAACCAAUUUACCUCCAUUUCUAAAUCACCUUUAAUCUUACAAGUCAGAGAAAUCUUAUAUGAUUGCCACAUUAAUAACAUUGAAGUAGUCAUUGCCUGGAUACCAAGCCAUACGGGAAUCAGAGGUAAUACAAUACUUAUCCCUGGAAUUGACUUUGGAUAAAUUUAUCAGACAUUCUCUAUGGACAAGUGUCUUUUCUAUACUUGACUCUGGCAGUAAUGGUUGUCUACUAUACGACGACCGGUUGCCAUUAACCAUAAAGUUGAAGUU
rnacentral:misc_RNA from 1 species